rnacentral:rRNA from 2 species
GGUGGAAGUGUGGUAACACAUGGAGCUGACUGUUACUAAUCGGGUGAGGGCUUGACCAA